AAUCUUUCGCAGUGGAGGGAACUCUGACGCAGCGACGCCGCGUGAACAAUGAAGGUCUNCGGUUCNUNAUGUUCUGUCCUCAGGGNAGAAGGUCACUUAACGUGCCUUGACGGUCCCUGUGGAGGAAUCACCGGCUAACUACGUACCACCAGCCGCGGUAAUACGUAGGGGGAUAGCGUUGUCCGGAAUGAUUGGGCGUAAAGGGUGCGGAGGCGGCAUUUUAAGUCAGAUGUGAAAGAACACCGCUUAACUGUGGGGGUGCAUUUGAAACUAGAAGGCGUGAGUUGCGGAGAGGGUAGGGGAAUUCCCGGUGUAGCGGUGAAAUGCGUAGAUAUCGGAAGGAACACCAGUGGCGAAGGAGACUACCUGGUCGAGAACUGACGCUGAUGCAAGAAAGCUAGGGGAGCAAACA
rnacentral:rRNA from 1 species